CGAAGCGAAGCAGUGAUGUGAAGCAAAUCGCNCCAAAGCCAGUCCCAGUUCGGAUAAGAAGGCUGAAACUCGCCNCUUUGAAGUCGGAAUCGCUAGUAAUCGCAGAUCAGCAUGUUGCGGUGAAUACGUUCCCGGGUCUUGUACACACCGCCCGUCAAACCAUGAGAGUCACCAACACCCGAAGUCCGCCUUGGCGGCCUAAGGUGGGGGAGAUGAUUGGGGUUAAGUCGUAACAAGGUAGC
rnacentral:rRNA from 1 species